GCCAUGCGGCCGGGUGAGGUAGGCCGGAGCCUCGGGCAGAGGAGGGGAGUGAAGGCCUUGCAAGAUGGAAGGGUGGAGGAGCCUGAGAAGCAUCGGGCCUCCCUCCUACCCCACGGGAGACAGAGAGAGAGAGAGAGAGAGCCAGUGCCUGUGCUGCCUUGGAAUUCGAUAUCAUGGACUGGCAGCAUGGCCGGCCAGAAGUGGGGGAUGCGGCGAGAGAAGGUGCCCGGCAGCUGUGGGAGUUCUGGGCAGGCAGAGGCCCAGAUUUUAACCCCUUUGUAAAAUAAUGGAAACCUUACAAAUACUGAUCCUCCUGAAUGAGAAUGAGGAGAGAAAGAUGAAGCAUGAAGAAAUGGGCAAGUGUGAGGAAAGUUGGUGCAUGUGAGAGAUGUCAGAAGAGGUGAGAAGAAUCCUAGGUGGGAAGAGAUGAUGGAUUGGCCUUGAGCUGGACUCUUUCUUGUAUGGCCAUGGACAGACCCAUGUUCUUCCUGUGACUCAGAGACUGUAUUUAGGGGGAGGCAAUGCCUUGGAGUCAAGAGUGAAGCAGUGGCGGGAACAGAGAUGGCUGAGGAGGGUGUGGGAUGCCCUCUGUCUCCAGGAGGGGAAGAUCUCUGUUCAUGAGGCCCCUUGGCCCCAGGGGUUUAAAUCUGGGGGGGACUGGUGUCCUGAAUUUGAGAGACUGCUGCUUUUGGAACUGAGUGGAGCAUCCUUAAACGGGGAGCCCUAAAAGCAGUCCUGGCCCAUGUGCAGUGGUGAGAGCCCUGGACAUGGAGGGAAGAAGUCACGAGGGCCGAUGUUCUCUGGGUGGUGCCACGAGUGACACGGAAACACAAAAGGUUUCAAUUGUGUUUCUGGGGGAAGCCUAUGGUGCAAGGGGGGACUCCUCUCUCCCUGAUGGAUUUGAGGGUUGAUUACUUGAGGGGUGAUGAUGGAUUGAUUAUGUCAGAGAUGGUGACGGGGUGGAAAUCUAGGGUGUUAUUUCAUUCUGUGGAGAAAAUGGAGGGGAGGAGGAAGAGGAAUUGAUUUGGAGGGUUUUCAUUCUUAGUUUUGUGUUUGUUCCUUUUUAGAUGUUGUAAUUAAUAAAAUUAGUUUCCUUUAUUCCUGAGUUGGAGCCUGCUUUGCUCUGUUCCUGAUCACAUCUCACAGAAGCCACCAGAGAAAGUGUAUAUUCAUGGAGGCACUGGCACUGUGGCAGAGUCAAACCAUGACAGGGUGACAGCAUGAUACUGUGUUUCCUAUUGUCUGCUUUAUGCCCAGACAUGGGUCCUGUAACUUUAAGCUGGGUCUGAGAGAGGGGUGCAAAGCCAGUGGAAUUCUUUUGGUGUGGCUUUCCAACAUCCUCCCCCAGGCUCCCUCAGAUGUGUUGUGCAGCACAGACAGAGGGAGUACAUCUCGGCUUUCAGCUGGCUUCUUGUUUCUUUGACAAUGGCAGAAGUUUUUCCAGGACUGUGGCUUCUUCUCCUGGAACGGUUUUUGCUUUUCCCUGGUCUGAAGCACCAGAACAUCGCCGGCAGCCCUGUGCCUUGUCCCGCAGGGGAGGCCUUGGGAUGCACAUCCCGGCUCUGGACUCGGGAGGAGCCGAGCCACGCCUACAGAAAGAGCUCUGAAUCCACCAGCCUACCCCACAAUGAGAAGGCUUGAAUAUCUAACAUUAUUCAUUCUUUUUCCCAUGCCUGCCUGCACACUGUGUGUUAAAUAAACAGCUUUUUUCACUUUCUUCCAAAAAUUUCCUUGCUGUGGGAGGGAAGGCGUGCCAAAACCUGUUUUCGUUAGAGGAGAUGUUUCCUCCUAACUUGUCUCAAAUUGAGACAUUUCUCAAAUAAUGUGGGGUGAUUUUUGAACCCUGGAGGAAGAACAGUCCACCUCAAUUGGUUU